GACGGGGGGGGCAAGUGUUCUUCGGAAUGACUGGGCGUAAAGGGCACGUAGGCGGUGAAUCGGGUUGAAAGUGAAAGUCGCCAAAAAGUGGCGGAAUGCUCUCGAAGCCAAUUCACUUGAGUGAGACAGAGGAGAGUGGAAUUUCGUGUGUAGGGGUGAAAUCCGUAGAUCUACGAAGGAACGCCAAAAGCGAAGGCAGCUCUCUGGGUCCCUACCGACGCUGGGGUGCGAAAGCAUGGGUAGCAAACAGG
rnacentral:rRNA from 1 species